GGUUAUCUGGAGCUUUAGGUUCAAAGGAAAGAGUGAGGUCUGCUGCUCCCUUCCUCCCUCCUACCCUGUUCCUCACCAACUCCUGGACGGUCCCCACCAUGGGGUUGAGAACUGGGGCUAUGCUGGGAUGUGUCCGUGACACUGAUCGUGGUGGCCAGAGAGACACCGAGGGAGACUGCUCUGCCACCAGAGAGCUGACAUGAGGAAGGAGCCCCAGACUAAAAACAGUGAGUCUCAGGAGACUUGGGAGGUGGCCGCAGGGAUAACCCAACCCUCCAAUUAACGUGCCUGAGCCAGUCUCCUCCUACGUCUGGAACUUUAGGAGAGCUGCCCACAGCAGAAUGACUCGGCAAGGAGAAGGGCUUGUCGGGUCUAGCUGGGAGCGGAGGUGGGCCAGGCUGCCAGAGGGAGGCUCUGGGUGGUGCCCUUAAGAGUCUCCGUCAUGAGCUGUUUUGCACUGUGAGCAUACCUCCAGAGAAGUGCCGAAAGCUUGCAUUCUUGCAGGUAAUACACCCAGCACCCAGAUCAAGAAACGGAACAUAAUCGGCACCCAAGAACCCCACCCUAAAUAUGUAAUUUUAAAAAAGAUUUUAAUAAAUAUCUUUUAGCACGCCCUUUAUAUACAUGGUUUACUUUUAACUUUCUGACCCCCUUGCCCUCCUCCUAGAAUAGAAACCUCCCAACAACCAGGGCUUUCUUCUAGACACAGGCAGCUAGAAAGAGGCCUGGCACAAAGCAGGUGCCAAAACUACCUGCUGAAUGGAUGAGAGUGCAGAGUGCACCCCAGGUGGUGAAGGCAUUGUUUCUGUGGCGUUCUUGUUUCAUCGUUGUAAAGUCCAUUUCUUUCUGUAGGUCACAGUCAAAACAUUGAGAGCCACGGCUACAACUUGAGCAA